AAGCGGUAAGCAGCAGGAUGUCAACCCCUUCAGCUAGCUUAAUGGUCAGUUUAAAGUACAGGGAUUUCCUUUCAUUACAAGGGGAUGAUUUUGACGACAUUGUGUUAUCUCAAGCAUUCAAGGAUAUAGAAAACGAAGUGAAAGUUUUUGAUGGGAUUUCCGACAUGUCGCUGACACCUGUCGGGAGUUAACGGGAAGGGGAUGCAAAACAUAUUUAGGAGGACUGGAAUACACCAAAUUACCAGCAAGAACAGACAAUAUUACAACCAAGAAGGUGACCGAUGUAUUCCGGAGUACUUUGAUAUGUACAAUGAUGUAUAUACAGGAGACUUCUCGGAGGAACCCCCAUUUGUUAUGGAAGUCAGGUCGUCGGUGUAAACAAACCAAAACAACAUGUGAAAGUGAAAGGAAAUUACACACAACUUACACUAUUGUACAAAUGCGGCGAACUGGACAACUGUUACGCGUUAUGUUAAAUUUGUGAACAGGGAAUCGUAUACAUAAUAUUUGUAACCAAACAUGUUUUUUUUCAAGUUUUAAUAACACCUAUGUACUACAGACCCUAUUCGGCAUUGAUACAAAAACAUCGAGAUCGCUGUAAACACUUGCGCUUGACCAGAAAAAAAAAAUCAAACGUUACAAUGUUUAUUUUACUCACCUGUAUGUAAUUGGGUCUUAAAACGACCAACAGCCACAUAAUUAUUUUAAUACCAUGAUUAAUAAAAAAAAAAAAAAUGUACGGUUA